AGUCUGAUCCUGGCUCAGGAUGAACGCUGGCCGGCGCGUUUACCCCCUCCACGGUCGAGGGGAAGGCCCUUGAAGUUUUCGGACCACGAGGUGAUUGAGGGGCGGAUGGGUGAGUAACGGGUGGGUAACCUGCUUAUCCACGGGGGAUACCAGUUAGAAAGGGCUGUUAAUACCGCAUAAGCGCACAGCAUCGCACGAUGCCCGUGUGAAAAACUCCGGUGGUAUGAGAUGGACCCCGCGUCUGAUUAGGUAGUUGGCGGGGUAACGGCCCACCCAAGCCGACGAUCAGUAGCCGACCUGAGAGGGUGACCGGCCACAUUGGGACUGAGACACGGCCCAAACUCCUACGGGAGGCAGCAGUGGGGAAUAUUGCACAAUGGGCGAAAGCCUGAUGCAGCGACGCCGCGUGAGCGAAGAAGUAUCUCGGUAUGUAAAGCUCUAUCAGCAGGGAAGAAAAUGACGGUACCUGACUAAGAAGCCCCGGCUAACUACGUGCCAGCAGCCGCGGUAAUACGUAGGGGGCAAGCGUUAUCCGGAUUUACUGGGUGUAAAGGGAGCGUAGACGGCGAUGCAAGCCAGAUGUGAAAGCCCGGGGCUCAACCCCGGGAGUGCAUUGGAAACUGUUUAUCUGGAGUGCCGGAGGGGUAAGUGGAAUUCCUAGUGUAGCGGUGAAAUGCGUAGAUAUUAGGAGGAACACCAGUGGCGAAGGCGGCUUACUGGACGGUAACUGACGGUGAGGCGCGAAAGCGUGGGGAGCAAACAGGAUUA
rnacentral:rRNA from 1 species